UAGGGAACACAGCUGAGCAGGACGCUGGUCCCACGGAUGUGCCUGACGGCCACGCGCGUUUGGGGUCACUCCCGGGCCGCACGGCUGUGCUGUUCGCUCAGCAGGCGAGGAGCCCGGACAAACAGCAACCCACGCUGGAAGUGGCCUCAGGCGGGGCUUCGGCGGCUGCAGGGGAUGACUGGGGACAAGCCUGGGCAUGCUUCUGGGUCAGGGGUGCCCCAGGAGCAUGGCUGGGGGGACAGUGCCUGGAGGAUCCAGCGAGGAGGAACGAGUGAGUCAUCACAAUCCGCAGUCACAAGGCAGGCGGCACCUUGCACGAAGGUGCCCAGAGGUGGAGCCUCAGCCCCACAGUCUCAGCCGCGCCCUCGGCAGGUCCCCAUCCCAAAUGCUGAGCCCGGGGGUCGCACAGGGGCCAUGAGGUCCUACACGGCACCCGUCCACCCUGCCCGAGGAGGACACUUCGCAAAACCCACGACUGAGACCCACGACUGCCGUCUGCUCACCUCGACGCAAGACCUGGGGCAGAAAGCGCUUCCUCCAGCAAAUCCGAGAGGACAGGUGUUCUCACCUCGGUCUGCCGUGUGCUCCCCGGAGGCUCAGCGAUGGCUUCGGUGAAGGCGGCGGAGGCUGCAGGCUCCCGGAGAGGACCAGGAUGUGGGCGGCUGGCAGCCUGUCAUCCCGGAG
rnacentral:lncRNA from 1 species